rnacentral:rRNA from 1 species
GACAGAGGAUGCAAGCGUUAUCCGGAAUGAUUGGGCGUAAAGCGUCUGUAGGUGGCUUUUUAAGUCCGCCGUCAAAUCCCAGGGCUCAACCCUGGACAGGCGGUGGAAACUACCAAGCUGGAGUACGGUAGGGGCAGAGGGAAUUUCCGGUGGAGCGGUGAAAUGCGCAGAUAUCGGGAAGAACACCCGUGGCGAAGGCGGCCUUCUGGACAGUGACUGACGCUGAGACGCGAAAGCGUGGGGAGCAAACAGGG